rnacentral:lncRNA from 1 species
CCUGCAUCUCAUUCAGCCCGCUCCCCGAGCAGCCUUAGCCAUCCCUAACUAAUCCAACUGCUUCCCAGUCUGCGGGUGCUGGGCUCGGUGCUGAGAAGAGGCUCUGGCUCUUGGCUAUUGUCAGGUCAAACACUAAGACUGUGUCCAUGUUAGAACUCAUAGAAGUUAAUGGAACCCCUGGCAGUCAGCUCUCCACUCCGCGCUCCGGCAAGUCACCAAGUCCAUCGCCCACCAGCCCAGGAAGCCUGCGGAAGCAGAGGAUCUCUCAGCAUGGCGGCUCCUCCACUUCACUUUCAUCCACAAAAGUCUGCAGCUCAAUGGAUGAGAACGAUGGCCCUGGGGAAGAAGAGUCCGACGAAGGUUUCCAGAUUCCUGCCACAAUAACAGAGAGAUACAAAGUCGGGAGAACAAUAGGAGAUGGAAAUUUCGCUGUUGUCAAGGAAUGUAUAGA